rnacentral:ncRNA from 1 species
UAAAGGUUUGGUCCUGGCCUUUUUAUUAACUCUUAGUAGAUUUACACAUGCAAAUAUCCCUGUCCCAGUGAGAAUGCCCUCUAUAUCAAUAUGAUCAAAAGGUGCAGACAUCAAGCUCACUANAAUNAGUUGCUCAUGACGUCUUGCUUAACCACACCCCCACGGGACACAGCAGUGAUUAAAAUUAAGCNCAUGAACGAAAGUUUGACUAAGUCAUACUAANNUAACUGGGUUGGUAAAUUUCGUGCCAGCCACCGCGGUCAUACGAUUAACCCUAGUUAAUAAAAUACGGCGUAAAGCGUGAUUNNAAAAACUUAACCCAAUAAGAUUAAGCUCAGGCUAAGCUGUAAAAAGCCCUAGCCACGAUAAAAAUAACUNAACGAAAGUAAUCUUAAAAUGUUUGAACUCACGAUAGCUAAGACCCAAACUGGGAUUAGAUACCCCACUAUGCUUAGCCCUAAACAUUAAUAUUCAACUAACAAGACCAUUCGCCAGAGUACUACUAGCAACAGCCUAAAACUCAAAGGACUUGGCGGUGCUUUACAUCCCUCUAGAGGAGCCUGUUCUAUAAUCGAUAAACCCCGAUACACCUCACCACCUUUUGCAACUAUCAGCCUAUAUACCGCCAUCUUCAGCAAACCUUAACAAAGUCCCACAGUAAGCAUAAUAAUUANACAUAAAUACGUUAGGUCAAGGUGUAGCCUAUAGGGUGGGAAGAAAUGGGCUACAUUUUCUACACAUCAGAACAACUGCNCUACGAUAGCUCCCAUGAAAUUGUGAGCCUAAGGCGGAUUUAGUAGUAAGCUAGGAAUAGAGUGCCCAGCUGAAUCGGGCAAUAAAGCACGCACACACCGCCCGUCACCCUCUUCAAAUUCUAUAAAUAAGUUACANNNAUACUUAANUUCACUCUACCAAUAGUAUAAGAAGAGAUAAGUCGUAACAAGGUAAACAUACUGGAAAGUGUGUUUGGAAUAAU